rnacentral:rRNA from 1 species
UAGGGAAUCUUCGGCAAUGGACGAAAGUCUGACCGAGCAACGCCGCGUGUGUGAAGAAGGUUUUCGGAUCGUAAAACUCUGUUGUUAGAGUAGAACAAGGACGUUAGUAACUGAACGUCCCCUGACGGUAUCUAACCAGAAAGCCACGGCUAACUACGUGCCAGCAGCCGCGGUAAUACGUAGGUGGCAAGCGUUGUCCGGAUUUAUUGGGCGUAAAGCGAGCGCAGGCGGUUUCUUAAGUCUGAUGUGAAAGCCCCCGGCUCAACCGGGGAGGGUCAUUGGAAACUGAGAGACUUGAGUGCAGAAGAGGGGAGUGGAAUUCCAGGUGUAGCGGUGAAAUGCGAAGAUAUAUGGCGGAACACCAGUGGCGAAGGCGGCUCUCUGGUCUGUAACUGACGCUGAGGCUCGAAAGCGUGGGGAGCAAACAGG